AAUAGCGAAAUAAAGCAGCGGCACUAUAAGAAUUAUUCUCGUAUUUAUUUAAAUGUUUGGAUAGGGGAACCCAACAUCCGACUGAGCCACAGCCCAGCUAUUGACCGGAUAAACCGGGUUCGUUACAAAUUCCAUAGUUGCCAAAUAUAUCCUAUUUUCUCAUUCACAGACAAGACGCACUCCUUCGAAAUCUCUCGCUGCUGCUGCAGCAAUAAGUGUGGCUGCAAUAUAUUUGCCAUUAGCUCCAGCUACAUGUAGAGCAUGUUAAACAUUUUUAAUUGUAUUUGUAGGAGCAUCUGACAGUCCACUUGCGUACAUAAAUAGAAAAUACACAACAUGACGAGGGACUUGAAAUUGAAGAUGAUCAAGAGUACACAACGCUGGAAACUGAGAACAUGAAGCUAAAGCAUCGAUUAGCAAUUCUGAAGAUGGCUAUUGCUGCAGAACAAAACGCCGCAACCACUGCUGUUUUUGGUAAAUAUGUACCAGCGGUACUGCCCACCGCCGCCGGUGCAAUGAUUUCGAUAGCAUAACAAACGCCAUCUCCUGGGCAUUCCCAAAGCUUGCUGACACCAGUUAUUAUAUCACGUAUGAAUGCGGCUCAAUUUGGUUAUUAUCAAUGCAAUUGUGCCAUGUCAUUGGCAUAAACACUAAAGGUUGCUGGCACAAAUAAAUCGCCUAGAGAUAUAGCCAACGAAAUAAAUAAACAUGGUGUUCAAUCGCUUCUUGUGGCUUAAACUGAGGUUGCAAGUGCUCGAUUCAUUAAUAUGUUUCUCAAAAGGGAUUAUGCUGUUCGUGUGAUUUCCAACCUCUUACGGUCUGGCGUUAACAUGCCAACUUGCCGCAAGCAACAUAUCUCAUAUAGAUGCACGUUGGUCAUUUACGUUCGACUAUUAUUGGAGAGUCCAUUUGGCGUUUGUUGGAGUUUCUGGGGCACGAUAAUCGCACGAGCUAAUCAAGGCUGUCAUAGAAUCCAUCUUAGUCCGAAUUUUUGAGAAAUCUACGAAAAUGCUAUUGAAUUUAAAUAACUGCGAGCGCAGCGUAUGCUUUGAAUACACGCAUUCGUAGUAGUUCAGAUUCAGUGUUCGCUUUUUCGUAGAUUUUAUGAAAAAUCAGACUAAGAUGGAUUCCGUGAUAGCCACCAAUAUGUAUUCUACUUUGACAAGAUGUUGCCGAAUCGCGGCGACACAGCCGUAUACGUAUUCUAUGAUUUUACGCGCAUAGGCUAAAUAUCUCGCACCUAGCUAAAGUGCUUGGUAAAUGCAUAUCUUCACCAUUAUAAUUUAAAGUAAAAAAGUUUAAGGCAUGUUAUAAAAGAAUACAACAAAACCAAAAAGUGUUCUC